GGUUUCCACCGCAUUCCGCCUAGCCAGGCUGUGAUAAGACUGGGGGCCCCGCUCAGCAGCCGCCUGCCCUCGGGGACCAGAGGUGUACUCUCAUAUUAGGAGAUGAACAUUUCCAUCAUGACCUGGACAGACACAGCCUCCUGUCACCCACCAGGCCAGCCCCAAGCCCAGGGCUUCCCGACUGCCCAGCUUCCGUGGGACUUACUCCCACUUGGUGACAGAGGAAGAUGGCAUCCUGGUAGUCCGGGUGUAGAGAUUAUCCACCCACCGGAUCCCUAAGCAGGUGUGGAUCCUCCUCCCACCUUUACCCAUCCCCACCCUGCUUGCUGAUGAGCCCUGUACUCAUGCAGGGCCCACAGCAUAGCACGUGGCUGGUGUUCUAACCCAAAGGAUUGUGCUGCUUUCUGUGGAGUUAAUCAUUGCCUUCUUCUUCCUAGCUUGCUUAGUUUGUCCUGGACUCAUUACCAAUUCACCCCCAGACCCCCGCUGGGCUUUCUGAGGAGACUCCCUGGCCAGUUCCUCCUGGGUCCUGGGCAGCAGUGCCUGGUGUGAUGUCCCAGGCCAGACGUCCUUGAGUCUCACGCUUCCUCUCUUGGGUUGCUUGGUGUCCUGGUGGAGUGUGUCUUUUGGGAGCGCCUUGAGAAAGGCAAAUGGGGAAGUUGGCUUCAAAAUGUGCUGUUGCAUGCUCACACUGGGCUGGCAGUGGGGUUGAGAACAGGACCCUGGCAUUCGCUCUACUUCCUCUGAAGCUGACUGGCCUACCAGUGUCCUCUGGCACUGCUGCAGGCCCCUGUGACAAAUUUUAAUUUCUGCUCCUUGGGGUAACAACUGGGACUUGUUUUUUUGCCAAAAGUUUCUGGGCCUGUUUAUUUUUCAGUAUUGAGAAUUGAACCCAGGGCCUUCACACUGAGCUACAACCCCAGCCCUUUUUUAAAAAUUUGAGACAAGGUCUUGCUGAGUCACUAAAUCGCCUAGGCUGGGGUUGAACUUGUGGUCCUCCUACCUCAGUUUACCAAGUAGCUGGGACCAUAGGCAUUUACCACUAUCCCUAGCUAGUUUGUGGGUUUUAAAUGUUUUGUUUUUAGUUUUCUUCUUGUUUGCACAGACUCUGCUAUAUAUAUAUAAAACACACACACACACACACACAUCUCUCCAAAACCACAUUACUGUACCCAAGAUAAACUUGGACAGAGCAAAACAUUCCACAGAUGUGAGAAAAUCUUGUAAUGGCAUUGACACAUGGUUAAAAUCAAUACUGUGCUCAGAGUGCUUACAAGUUAUCAAGAAAGCUUGAAAACUGGGGGAAACAGGUGAGACCUGGUCAGGAUCCAGUGAGCCUGCUACAGAGUCAGGGCUUGAUGUGGGCCAGGCUCUCCGGCCAGCAGGGAAGCAGCUCCUGGGGGCAGGGCCACAGACGGGGUCCUGUGGGGUCUCGGGCAAGAGGGAAGCAGCUGGCAAGGCCAGAGCUAAGUCCUGAGUGUCAGGGUUAGGGUUAGGGGAUAGGUGGGUGCAGCUGAGGUCCCCCGAGAGGUGUCUGAUAGCUAAAAAAGGGGAAGCAACUGCAGCUGUUGCUGGAGGGGCUGACGUUAGUCGCAGCAGCAAAGAUUCGAAGUGCCUGAUCUGGGCAAGUCCAGGGUGUGUCCAGCUCACGCUGCCAUAACAAAAUACCCAGCCUGGGGACUUAAACAGUAGCAGUUCAUGUCCUCACAGUCCUGGGGAAAGGCGAGGUCAAGGUGCAGCGUGGCAGAGAUGUUUCUCAGGCGCCUCUUCUUGGCAGGGAGACUGAACCUAGCCCGCGCGUGUCCUUUUCCUCUGUGCCCAGCCCUGCUGCGUCUCUGGGUGUCCUCUUCUAAGACACCAGUCAGACUGGACAGGAGUCACUGUGAGCCCUCGCCGAGUCGGUCGCCUCUCCAAAUUCUCCUGCAUCCUGCCAUCUUGGAGCUCAGGCAGGGCCAGCCAGCCUGGCAUUCCUGGUGUGUCCUUC
rnacentral:lncRNA from 1 species